GAACCAAUAAGAAGCUUGCUUUUUGUUGGUUAGCGGCGGACGGGUGAGUAACACGUGGGUAACCUGCCUGUAAGACCGGGAUAACUCCGGGAAACCGGUGCUAAUACCGGAUAGAUUAUCUUUCCACCUGGAGAGAUAAGGAAAGAUGGCUUUUGCCAUCACUUACAGAUGGGCCCGCGGCGCAUUAGCUAGUUGGUGAGGUAACGGCUCACCAAGGGCGACGAUGCGUAGCCGACCUGAGAGGGUGAUCGGCCACACUGGGACUGAGACACGGCCCAGACUCCUACGGGAGGCAGCAGUAGGGAAUCUUCCGCAAUGGACGAAAGUCUGACGGAGCAACGCCGCGUGAGCGAAGAAGGUCUUCGGAUCGUAAAGCUCUGUUGUUAGGGAAGAACAAGUAUCGGAGGAAAUGCCGGUACCUUGACGGUACCUGACGAGAAAGCCACGGCUAACUACGUGCCAGCAGCCGCGGUAAUACGUAGGUGGCAAGCGUUGUCCGGAAUUAUUGGGCGUAAAGCGCGCGCAGGCGGUCCUUUAAGUCUGAUGUGAAAU
rnacentral:rRNA from 1 species